UCUCUUCCCACCUGUUCCCUUUUUCCUCCUCUGAUUACUCCCUUAUUUCUCCCUCUGUUUUUGCUGCCUCCUUUGUCAGAUUCUCGUUUGAGUUUCUCUCGCAAGAAGCAGACAACUAUCCUGUCAGUCUCCGCUCUAGACCCGUCCAGUCUUGUCCUGUUGAGACCUGCCUGAAGAAUCUGACCAGAAAUGGACCCAGCGACACCAAAGCCUAUCCAGUCUGCUGUCGAGUUCCAGGGAGCGAUAUUAGGCAGACAUGAGGAGGAGUUGUCUGCCGCUCGACAUGCCGUGGAGACCCUGGCUGCCCAAGUCUCCGAUCUCUCAAGACCGUUACAACAUCUUCGCCUCGAUCCACCUGUCGCCUCCAGGGCUCCUGAAUCUCCCGAACCCCGUAUAAAUAGCCCACCGUGCUACGCUGGUGAGCCCACCGAAUACUGCUUGUUUCUCACUCAGUGUGAUGUUGUUUUUUCUCUCCAGCCCACCACUUAUUCCGAGAACAGAGCUCGCAUUGCCUACAUUAUAUCACUCCUCACUGGACGGGCCCGGGAGUGGGGAACGGCAGUCUGGGGGGCGGAGGCUGCGUGUACUAACCAGUAUCAGGACUUUAGGGAGGAGAUGAUACAGUUUUGCCUGAGGCCGAGAGAGAACCAUCCAUCCCUGUCUGCCCACUACCCGCGUCCACUUUGAGAGACCUGCGGUCGGUCGCCGCUAUCACUACAGACCCAGACUGCUGCCAAAGG
ensembl:lncRNA